GGCGAGUUUGCCGAGCGGUCAAAGGCAACAGACUGUAAAUCUGUCGACGUAUGUCUUCGGUGGUUCGAAUCCACCACUCGCCACCA
rnacentral:tRNA from 1 species